rnacentral:rRNA from 1 species
AGAGUUUGAUCAUGGCUCAGGAUGAACGCUGGCGGCGUGCUUAAUACAUGCAAGUCGAACGCAGGUGCAGCAAUGUAUCUGAGUGGCGAACGGGUGAGUAACGCGUGGGUGACCUGCCCCGAAGAGCGGGAUAACAGUUCGAAAGGACUGCUAAUACCGCAUGUGGAUGCAAGGGUUAGAGGCCCUGCAUCUAAAGGUGCAAACCGCUUUGGGAGGGGCCUGCGUCCCAUCAGCUGGUUGGUGAGGUAAAAGCUCACCAAGGCGACGACGGGUAGGGGACCUGAGAGGGUGAUCCCCCACACUGGCACUGAAACACGGGCCAGACACCUACGGGUGGCAGCAGUAGGGAAUAUUGCACAAUGGGCGCAAGCCUGAUGCAGCAACGCCGCGUGCGCGAUGAAGGCCUUCGGGUCGUAAAGCGCUUUUCUGGAGGACGAGGAAGGGCGGUACUCCAGGAAGAAGGCUCGGCUAACUACGUGCCAGCCGCCGCGGUAAUAC